rnacentral:rRNA from 1 species
UACAGAGGUGGCAAGCGUUGUUCGGAAUUACUGGGCGUAAAGGGCGUGUAGGCGGCCUUCUAAGUCAGACGUGAAAUCCCCCGGCUUAACCUGGGAACUGCGUCUGAUACUGGAAGGCUUGAGUAUGGGAGAGGGAUGUAGAAUUCCAGGUGUAGCGGUGAAAUGCGUAGAUAUCUGGAGGAAUACCGGUGGCGAAGGCGGCAUCCUGGACCAUUACUGACGCUGAGGCGCGAAAGCUAGGGGAGCAAGCGGG